AGGACGAACGCUGGCGGCGUGCUUAACACAUGCAAGUCGAGCGAGGCCCGUCCUUCGGGACGGUGCCCUAGCGGCGAACGGGUGAGUAACACGUGGGCAACCUGCCCCUAGCACUGGGAUAAGCCUGGGAAACUGGGUCUAAUACCGGAUAUGACCUCGCGAUGCAUGUCGUGGGGUGAAAGCCUUGUGCGGCUAGGGAUGGGCCCGCGGCCUAUCAGCUUGUUGGUGGGGUGAUGGCCUACCGAAGGCGACGACGGGUAGCCGG
rnacentral:rRNA from 1 species